rnacentral:lncRNA from 1 species
CUGCAUGUUAUUUAUGUUAAGAUGUGGAUUACUCAGUUUUCCAUGUCUCUUAUUGCCUCCUGAUGAAUAAAAUGUUAAAAUCCAGACCUGAACAACAGUUCGCAAGCAUUUUCAUACCUAACCUGCUAAAUAGACUGAAAAUAAAAAACAAAGUGGACUCGUACUGCAGCAGUAUUCCUUUUGGCAUGUUCAAAUACUUAUUACUCUGGUGUGGAUGAGAAAAAAGGUAAAUAGAUUUGUGUUUACAUGUUUCUGCGUUUUUAAAAUCUCGUCUUAAGUUGUUUCUUAAACUUUUCUGUACAUGUCGACACUUUUUCUCCAUAUUUCGUUUGUCUCAUUCAGAAGGCCACCUAUUCUAGCGCAUUAAUUUAGAAGUAAUGUCUUGUUCUUUCAAUUGUGCAAGUCAGAUAAAUGUCUUAGCACAUUAAAUCCUAUCUGUACAUUCACCGUUAAAUGCAUACACAGUUACACGCAGAGUUUGACCUUCUGCAGAAGUAUCCAGUUAAUCUCACUGGUGAAACUCCACUCUGUUGGGGGUCAUAAUGGCGUUUCCAGGCUAAAGCAAAUAACAUGAUCUCAGCAGAAACACAGAAAAGGUAGAGAAGGAGGAAAGGAUAGAAAUGAGAGGAAUAUGACUCUUUUAAAAACAGGUCAGUGUGAGGGAAAGUGAAAUAAAAUUAUAGUAAAAAAAAUGUGGUCUUAUAAAGAAGGGUAACCUGGCAAAGACAAAGGUCAAAAAUUAGAACUUUUCUCUUGAUGGCGGCAGGUUAGGAGGACUAGAAAGACGAUUAACAUGAAUAGGUUCUAUAGAUAUGAAAGCAGUGCAACAUUAACUAUUAGCGGCAAACAUUUUAAGUCAAUGUGCAAAGUGGUAAUAGAUUUCCCACAUAUGCACUAGUGAUCAACAAUGUACUCACUGGUACUUUUAGAGCUGGUAUUAGGUGUAUUUUUUAGCCUUAAAUACUUUAUACUUUCACAUUUUAUUGAGGAAACAGCCUUAAGAAGCAAAUUAUUUCUUGUUUCAAUGAGCUACAGUCUCAAAGUCAUCAGGAAGGACUACCCCAUCAACAGGAUGCAAUAUGACAAUCGUUUAUUUACCAUACUGGAACGAUUGUUCAGAAUUUGAAGUUGGAUUUCUCGCUGUCAAUUUGGGGGGCUUGUUAGGGAGUACUCAGUCGCACCCUUACACAGUAAACUCCCUUAGAGGAGCCCUGCAGAUUGAAGGAAGGAAAGAAAUAUGGGGAUAAAUGUGCAGGUCAGAGGGCAGACAAAAUAUGAAAGAGGAGGAGAGGGAUAGGACUGAAUUUAUAAGGAUGCCAGAAGAGGGGCACCUGAGGUGUGAUCCUGCUCCGAAGACUCUAUUGUAAUGCAUAUAAAGAAGCUGUAUACUGUAGCUUCAAAGUCUAUUCAAUAAAGUUCUUGCAGAAGAAGCAAAGUUACUUUUUUCUCUGAAUAGCGUGUUUAAAGGCAUGAGACAGAUUUGGAUAAGAUUUUUAAAAAAAGAAAAAGAAAAACUCCAUGGCUGUGUGUGUGUGGCAGAAAAAAAGGCAAUACAGAGACGUAAAAAAAAUGUAUUUCAAAUCACAUAUGUAGGAUUUCCGUAUGUAUGUUUUCUCAAUGGAAGAGCAUCAUGUAAUUCUGUGACCAUGUGUCUGAAAAGAAGGACACAGGAUGCUCACUGAUGGCAGAAACACAGGAAAAACUCUAUCCAAGGAUUUGACAAAAACUACUCUCCAAGUCUUGUGUAAGAGAGAGAGAUUGUGGAGUUUUGCCAGAUUUCAUCAACAAACUCGAGUCAGCAGGAGGCCUGGGUGUUGGAGAGUUUAUUUCCUUCACUUUGCCUCAGGGCGACAACGCAUCUCAGGGGGUGUAAGCUAACAGAGAGCUGUUUAAAGAGAAACAUACCCUGCUUUUGUGCAUGUAAAUUUUCUCAUUUCCACAUCAAACUUUAAUUUUUCACAGGCCUGGAUAAAAGAGAUGACUACAAAUAUGAAGUGUAAAAGAACCAUAAUCAGAGACUCUGUUAUCAGGAAAACUCAACAAUUAUGACAAUUAAAUUAAGUGUCAGUGAAAGCAUGUUAGUAACAGAGCAUUUAUUCUGUGUACUCUGAGACGUGUGCUCAUGUCAUCGUCUCUGGAGGCACUAGGUUGUCUGUAAGGGUGCAUGUGCAGCAGCAGCCACUAGGGGGGAGGUGUGAGUCUUCUCUGCAGGUGGAAGGAGAAGAGGAAAACUGCUGCAUUUGACUCACUGUGGGAGAACCUGGCAGAGGUUUGGGACCGGACUGAAAACUACAAAUUCUAUCUCGUCUCAGAGCACAGAUCACACAUCUCCCAGUGUUCCCAGGCUGGGGUGCACUGGUAGAGGUUUCCACCUCUGCUGGUAAUAGCAACCUCAGCUAAUUAACCACAGGCAUUUAAUGUGAGCCCGAGGGGACCUGAGCCUCGCUCCCUAAUGUCCCUGGAGGAAACAUGUAUGAGAGGAAAGGCAGGAGGACCAAUAAAAAGGGGCAGGAUUUAGGCCUGAGGGGUCGGAGCACCUGUCACAUGCAGCCUGGGAGCAAUGAAUGCUAUUGAUGAGCCGGGCAAGGUCAGACCCAGCCGCACCGGGGGGCCUCCGUCCAGCUUCUUCGGAUCUCCGGCGCAAAGCCACGGGGAUUGUUGGACACCUGUCAAUCAGAGCGGGGAGGGGAACAAUCUGCGCUCGGCUACUGUGCCUGGGCUGUAAGACGGUUAAGCUGGUCCAAGGCGAGCUCAGGACAUUCUCACGGAAACCCCAGUAACAAGAUAAUGAUCUUACAAUAUUACACUGACAUGGAGGAACAUUUUGCACACUGUCACAUUAUGAAGGCUGGGAUGGGUAACAUACUCCCAGCACAGAGCAGAGUUGGAUUGAGGAGAGGCUGAGUCAUCUUCAAAACCAUGUGUGUUUGUUGUGAUGGUGUGGAAAUGUUAUAUUUUCAUUCAAAGAAUACAAAAUCAUUAUAGAUGGUAAGUUCUGUGUUGACCCAAAUGUAAGAUAAACACACCUACAAACAAAGGGGGGUCGUCUUAUAUU